rnacentral:rRNA from 1 species
UACGUAGGGCGCAAGCGUUGUCCGGAAUUAUUGGGCGUAAAGAGCUCGUAGGCGGCUUGUCACGUCGGGUGUGAAAGCCCGGGGCUUAACCCCGGGUCUGCAUUCGAUACGGGCUGGCUGGAGUUCGGUAGGGGAGAUCGGAAUUCCUGGUGUAGCGGUGAAAUGCGCAGAUAUCCGGAAGAACACCGGAGGCGAAGGCGGCUUGCUGGACCUGGUCUGACGCUGAGGCGCGAAAGCGUGGGAAGCGAACAGG